rnacentral:rRNA from 1 species
CUACGUGCCAGCAGCCGCGGUAAUACGUAGGUGGCAAGCGUUGUCCGGAAUUAUUGGGCGUAAAGGGCUCGCAGGCGGUUUCUUAAGUCUGAUGUGAAAGCCCCCGGCUCAACCGGGGAGGGUCAUUGGAAACUGGGGAACUUGAGUGCAGAAGAGGAGAGUGGAAUUCCACGUGUAGCGGUGAAAUGCGUAGAGAUGGGGAGGAACACCAGUGGCGAAGGCGACUCUCUGGUCUGUAACUGACGCUGAGGAGCGAAAGCGUGGGGAGCGAACAGGAUUAGAUACCCUGGUAGUCCACGCCGUAAACGAUGAGUGCUAAGUGUUAGGGGGUUUCCGCCCCUUAGUGCUGCAGCUAACGCAUUAAGCACUCCGCCUGGGGAGUACGGUCGCAAGACUGAAACUCAAAGGAAUUGACGGGGGCCCGCACAAGCGGUGGAGCAUGUGGUUUAAUUCGAAGCAACGCGAAGAACCUUACCAGGU